rnacentral:tRNA from 1 species
UCCCUAGUGGCUCAGAUGGUAAAGCAUCUGUAUGCAGUGCAGGAGACCCAGGUUCGAUCCCUGGGUUGGGAA